UACGUAGGGGGCAAGCGUUGUCCGGAUUUAUUGGGCGUAAAGAGCGUGUAGGCGGCCAGGUAGGUCCGUUGUGAAAACUCGAGGCUUAACCUCGAGACGUCGAUGGAAACCAUCUGGCUAGAGUCCGGAAGAGGAGAGUGGAAUUCCUGGUGUAGCGGUGAAAUGCGCAGAUAUCGGGAAGAACACCCGUGGCGAAGGCGGUUCUCUGGGACGGUACUGACGCUGAGACGCGAAAGCGUGGGGAGCGAACAGG
rnacentral:rRNA from 1 species